rnacentral:tRNA from 1 species
UAUCUUGUAGUAUAUAAAAUUACUGUAAACUGCAAAUUUACUAAAGCCUAACCACAGGCCAAGAUGU